rnacentral:rRNA from 1 species
GACGAACGCUGGCGGCGUGCUUAACACAUGCAAGUCGAACGAAAAUACCAAGCUUGCUUGGUUGAUUAGUGGCGAACGGGUGAGUAACACGUGAGUAACCUGCCCCUUACUUUCCUGGAUAACUGCUCGAAAGGGUAGCUAAUACGGGAUAUUCUGACCAGCCUGCAUGGGUUGGUUUGGAAAGGUUGUUUUUCUGGUAAGGGAUGGGCUCGCGGCCUAUCAGCUUGUUGGUGGGGUGAUGGCCUACCAAGGCUUUGACGGGUAGCCGGCCUGAGAGGGUGGACGGUCACACUGGGACUGAGAUACGGCCCAGACUCCUACGGGAGGCAGCAGUGGGGAAUAUUGCACAAUGGGCGCAAGCUUGAUGCAGCGACGCCGCGUGAGGGAUGAAGGCCUUCGGGUUGUAAACCUCUUUCGUCAGGGAACAAGGCACUGCUUUUUUGGUGGUGUUGAGGGUACCUGGAUAAGAAGCGCCGGCUAACUACGUG